UCACUCCGGAUAGCACCAUCUACAAUGGGCAGUUCUCCUACAUCAAUCAUUGUUCAGAAAAAUUACCUGUAGACUUGCCUACAAAAUCAUAUAGAUGUUUUCUGGAUUAUGAUUCCUUCUUCUCAGAUGACCCUAGGUUGUAUCUAUUUGAUAUGAAAACCAACCAUAAUAAUCUACCCAUUGUCAAUUUGACACAGCAUUUCCUAAGCCACAACCCUUCUUGUUUGUCCAUGGUGUCAUGCUAAUGUCAUAUGACAGUGUGAAACAUUCCAAUUUUUAAAAGUCCCAUAGUUUUUAAAUUUUUCAACACUUUAAGUGUCCAGUUUUCUUUUUAUAUAGUACCUAAUCUCUUUCAAAAUACAAAGGCUCUUUAAGUCCCCAAAUUUAUCUGAAAUACUAAAAGUCUCUCUAACUGUGGGCUCCUGUAAGACAAAACAAGAACAAAACUAAAGACAAAGAAGUUAAAGACUUUUUUUUACCCUGGGAGGGAAGAACUAGGGCAUGCAUAGUCACAAUCAAAUAAAGUCAAAAUCCAAAUCCAUAUUCAACAGUGUUCAAAGUUUGAUGCUUGACAUCUGGGACCCUUUAAUGAUCCUCCAGGCUCCAAAAGGUUGAGACAUUUAGUUUUACUUCUUUGGACUGCCAACUGCAAGCACACAAACUUUAUCUCAGGCUGAGGCCUAUUCCACAGUUGCUGUCCUUGGCUGUUCUCUUGGUACUGCUAUCUCUAAAAUGCAAUGGUCUCCUAUUGUACUUCUGUCAACUACUUCUGGGCUAUCUUCAAGUUCCCUGACCCUGCCACACAGUGUCAAGCCUUGAUUUUUUUUCCAUGACCUCUUCAAUCCUGGGCCUUCUAUACUGCAACUGAAUCUGCACCUUCACUAACAGACUCUUCCUCUCUCCCUUGAGGGACUCUAGCUCUGCUAAACAAUGCCAAGCCUCAUCUAUGUUCUAUGAUCCCUUCAAACUUUUAAAACCAGUAUUACUUGGGUGAUUGUUACACUACCAAGUUCAGUUUCCAGCAUGAGAUGAAGCCUCAGCUCUUCUGGACCAUGGCUUUUAUGUGCUGACUGAGAGGGAACACUUUUCAGAAGAUUUUGCCCCAAUAUAGUUGAUUUUCUAUUUUUUCCCGAUAUAAUAUUUUUAUUGAUUAUUUGGAAAUUUCACAUAAUGCACCCUACAAAGCAUAUACUUCCUAAUCCUCCCAGGUCUGUCCCCAACCCUUGUGACCUCCCCCCCAAGUCCCUCCAAAGGAGAAGAAAAAGACUAUAGAUCCAAUUUGUUUGUAUACUUACCAGAGGAUGGUUAACACCCCCCCCCCGACCCCGACCCAAUAGCUAGCUCCUUAAAGAAAACUAAGUCCUUCCCUAUCUUCACUCCUGCCAGAAGCUAUCACUUUUGGAGAGCUACACUUCAGCAUUCUUACCUAAAGUUUAAAAGAGUUUUCUUUGAUGGCUUUCUUUUUAGGCAGCUACUUUCUUUGAAUGGUGGUGGUGGUGAUGGGGUUAGGGGUUGUCACAAAAGUCUUCUAUAGCUCUCUCAACUGAGAGUCUACAGUCACUAAUACCACUGCAAAAGUAGCUUCCUUGUAUUUUACAGUUAGCUGGAACAUGGAUUAUGGACUUCCAUUUGGCUUCUGGCAACAGCUUGAACCAUGGAUAUCAACAUGGCCUCUGGUGGCAGUACAGACCCCAGACAUCAGCAUGGGCCUCUGUUCUAGUAUGGACCAUUGACACUUUCAUGGCCCUUGGUGGUAGCACAAGCCUCAGAUACCAACGUGUCCUCUGGGCCGUAGGCCAUAAACCAUUAUGUCCUUGGUAGCAAUCCAGUCCAUUAACAUCACCAGGGUUUCAAACAGGAGCACAGACCACCAGCAUCCACAUGGCCUUCAGUGGUAAGACAGGUGAUAGGCAUCAACAUGUUCUUCUGUGUGAUAUGGACUUCUAUAUGGUGAAACCUUGGACCACAGACAUCCACAUGGCUUCUGUUGGCAGCAUGGACAACAGACCUCAACAUGCUCUCCAACAGCAGCUUAGACCAUAGAUAUUAAUAUGGCUCUUGGCCAAAGCAUGGGCCACAGGCACCUUCAUGGACCUCAGAUGCAGCAUAGGUCAUGGAUCAAUAUGGUCAACCAACAGCUUAAGUUUCCCUACCUAUCUAUUCCUGAGACUGGGAUCUCUCCUUAUUUCCCUGGGAUCUCUCCAUUUUUCCCUAGUUUGAAGACUCCCCCAAAUACCAGGACCAUGAACCUAAAAGUUUCAAAUUUAUAUCCAUAUAACUUUGAUUUUUGAACUGAAUCAUAAGGUUUCUGAAUCACUCUACUUAUUUUUUUCUGACUUAUAACCUGCCUUUCCUGAUUUCUUUGUAUCAGUAUAGAAUGACAAAUUGCUGCCCCUUUUACACUGUAGAGGAGAAUUUAGUUCUUUUCAUAACGUGUAAUUGCUUGUUUUGGGGGGUAUUUGUUGUUAAUUUCUCCCUCCAAAAUUACUUCAAGUUUUUUUUGCCAAUAUUCAUUUUCUGCUUAUAAUGAGACAAUUAAAGCAUUAGUAAAGCCCUUCCGGUAAGCACC
rnacentral:lncRNA from 1 species